rnacentral:rRNA from 1 species
GACGAACGUGUCCUAACGUUGUUCGGAAUCACUGGGCUUAAAGGGCGCGAUAGGCGGUCCGGACAAGUCAGGGGUGAAAUCCUGCAGCUUAACUGCAGAAGUGCCUUUGAUACUGUCGGUCUGGAGGGAGAUAGGGGUGUGCGGAACUCACAGUGGAGCGGUGAAAUGCGUUGAUAUUGUGAGGAACGCCGGAGGCGAAAGCGGCGCACUGGAUCCUCUUCGUGACGCUGAGGCGCGAAAGCUAGGGGAGCGAACAGG